GGAGAGAUGGCCGAGUGGUUUAAGGCAGCAGUUUACUAAACUGCCGGGCUCGAAAGGGCCUCUAGAGUUCGAAUCUCUAUCUCUCCGCCU
rnacentral:tRNA from 1 species